rnacentral:lncRNA from 1 species
CCCCAUCGUCGCCGCCGGGCUCGCCGUGCAUAUUAUCUUCCCUUUUACCCCACCUUCCACCAUAGCCUUUGCCGCGUGUUUCACGCAAGCGACUGACCCACGAACGUUGACCGCGAAUAGGUUAUCUAAAGCAUCCAGAUUGAACCCUAGAAUAUCUUGUGCGUGCUCGUUGUGGCUUGCAAUUCCGGCGUUGCUGAACAUUAUAUCGACUCGACCGUGAAUUUCCACUGUUGAUUGUACCAGGGAUUGGACUUGUUGCUCGUCUGUAACGUCACAUUUAAUGAAAGUGCAGUGAGUGGACCCGAUUGAUUCCGCAACCGAUCGACCUUUUUCUUCUUGGAUGUCAGCAAUUACUACCUGAGCGCCAUGUUGAGCAAACAGAUGUGCUGUCGCUUCGCCGAUUCCGCUUGCUCCUCCGGUGAUGAUGGCAAUUUUACCGUUCAAUUUUGGAUUGAAUGAUGGUGGAAUUGGGUUUUCCAUUUUCUUUCGUCUUUUUUGGACGCACUUUGAAGGUAACAAACACUUUGGCACUUGUGUAUUUAUAUUCAACAAACUGUUUGUUGGAAGAGGAAAAAAAAAAGACAUGUGCAUACCUAAUAAUUAUAAUUAGGUAAAUGCCAACAUCAGUUGAAUUUUGGGAAUUAUUGAAUUAGCAGAAGUACCCUCAAAUUUGUCAGUUCAUAUGUUGGAAUCAUUAAGAAAGUAGAUCCCACAGCUUAUUGUAGCCAGCCAACCCUGGACCCCGGAGGGUUGGGUUCAUCUGAAUUCGUUUGAUAGAAAAUUAUAUCAUGUGUACAGGGGCGGACCCACGUGGUAUCCAGGGUUUCACCCGAACCUCUCGGCAAAAAAUUACAUGGUAUAUAUAAGGUAAAUUUUCUAUAUUUCUGUAGAUAUAUAAAUUUUGAACCCCUCAAUAACAAAGAGAAAUUGAUGGCGCAGUGACAAGUAUCCUGAAAUUAAGCUGUAUGUCACUGGUUCGAAUCCCAGUGAAAGCAUUUUAUUUUUUUCUUGUUCAGUUUCAGUUUUUUUAGGUUUUUAUUUUUUUAUUUUCAGUUCUGUUUUUCAAGUUUUUUUUAGUUUUUUUUUAACUUUAAAAAAUGUGCUAAAAGUUUGAUUUUAAAACCAAAAGAAUUCAAGGUUUCCAUUUCUAAAGGCUUAUUUACACGUUUAUACUUUUAUUUUUCGAACCUCCUAAACGAAAAUCCUGAAUCCGUCACUGUGUGUAUAUAUAGUUAGAUAUUGCAUCCAUUUCAACUUAUUCACGUGUUUACUUUUCAUAUUUUGAAGUGAAAAUUUUGAUUCCACCACGGAGAUAUAUUUCAUUUUCUUGUUGUAAUCCAGCAAAUUCUGCCCAUUCAGGCAAAAAAAACUUUGGCUCACAUGUAAUAGGAAUCUCCACUUCACAAGGAAGAUGUCUCUAGUUUUUCAACAUGUUAUCUGCUAUAAACUAGUAAUUUAAAUAAACAAUAACAGCUGUGUUUUGAAGUAAUCUCGUUUACUUCUAAAAUCAUCAAAUGCCUCCUUUGCCCUGCCUAUUACCAUCCUCAAAUUUACAAAAUGGCCGACCAGAAAUCCUGAUAUAGAAGUCCCAAGUUAGAAGUUUUCCAGUCUAACAAGGAAGCUACACCAGUGUCACCUUUAAAUUCUGGAAGGACGAGGAUGUUCAAAUUGUGUGGAAAAAUCUGGAUCUCUGAUUUUGACCCUGUGCACUAAGGGUGUGUUUGGUAGGACGGAAAAUGAUUUCUUAGAAAAUAAGUGGGUUUCUUACUUAUUUUCUAGUAUUUGGUUAGCAAAAGAUAUUGGCCAUAAACAUUUUAUAUAAUCUAGACAAAAACUGAUGGGGCGGGGGUGGAGUGUAGGAAUGUGGGGAUAGGGUCUAUGAGGUGUAGUGUGUUGAAGGUUAGGGAGGAGACAAUUAAUGUGGAAUGAGGGGAUAAAAACAACAAGUGGUGAGUGCUUGUUCAUUACUAUUUUCAGAAUGGUUUUGGUUACAUAGUUGACAUGGAAUAAUUUACUGUAUAAUGAAUUUAGUUGCUUGGUUCAUUUCAGUUCUUUUACUGCCAACAUUUUUUUUUCUUCUGUAUAUGUGUCUGUUAAAUUUCUUCCUUCUAUCACAAAUUGUUCUAUCUUUGUCUUGAUGCUCUUCUGUAAAAUGAGGUUGUUCAUUAUAGUCACUUAUCUAUAUAGAUCAGUCGGUUUCUACUUCACGUGAUUGUUGUCCUUGGCUGUCUUAGGAGGGUUUUCAACUCUCUAGUUCCUUCUUUUUGGUACUUGAGUUAACCUGUUAAUUAUAUAUCUUAUCAUCUUGUGGACCUCGUGUCUGCAAGUUUCCCAUGUGGGCCCUCAUAUUUUAUGGGAAGCAUACUCCAAAAUUCUCCAAAUUGAGUGGCUGGAAGUUCUUAAGGUCAUAGCCAUUAGCAUUUGCUUCCAUCUAGUCACUUGUCUAUAUAGAUCAGUCGGUUUCUACUUCACGUGAUUGUUGUCCUUGGCUGUCUUAGGAGGGUUUUCAACUCUCUAGUUCCUUCUUUUUGGUACUUGAGUUAACCUGUUAAUUAUAUAUCUUAUCAUCUUGUGGACCUCGUGUCUGCAAGUUUCCCAUGUGGGCCCUCAUUAUUUAUGGGAGGCAUACUCCAAAAUUCUCCAAAUUGAGUGGCUGGAAGUUCUUAAGGUCAUAGCCAUUAGCAUUUGCUUCCAUCUAAUCUCCUGUCAAACUCUGUUGCGUAAGCAAGCAAUUUUAAGUAGACGACAGAAAAUUAAGAAAAUGUAAAAGUAUUAGAAUGUCCAGAGUAAAAAUAAUACUAAAUGUUUUUCAGUUUUACUCAUUCAAGUGUUAUCAAGUUGAAGCGGCUAGCCUUUUCAAUUACGCAGAAGCAGAGGGAUUGUAAUUUUAUGGUUCCCUUAAAAAUUAUUGAUGUAUGCUUGAGAUCAAUCAUGAGAUUUUUUCCUAAGUUCCCCGGAAACUGGAACUUAUGAAAUUCUAAUAUGUGAAAUUCUAUAGUCCUCACACCAAAUUAACCUGUUCUAAAUCUUGUACCAUGUGAUUUAAGUUUUUUUUAUUUUUGGAAUAAAGACAUGAUAUUCCAUUUCUCAUUUUGAAGUUUAUGUUUUAGCAGCUUUAUUUGCCUAUCUCAUAGGAGUCAUCUUGGCAAAUUAUCUAAACUUUGUUGAUCCAAUAGCUUCUAAAUUUUUCUAGGAUAUUUUGGUUAAUAUGAUUGGAUAGUAGAAUAAAUCCAUCAUUGAUUUAAACAUAUGUUGCAAGCAAUAUUGAAAUACCAAGACACAUCAUGUCUCCUUUGAAUUUUUUUCCGGAUUCUCGAAUGAUUUAUUCUUAUCCGCUUUCAGGAUGGUUCUUUUUUAUUUUUAGACCAGGGAGGGAAUGGGGCAGGAAACAGUGCCAGGUAUGCCUAAGACAUUUCCAUAUGUGAUGAUGGAAGUUCCGAAAAUCUGAAGAUACGUACUUUGUCAGGUCAUUCUAGUGAUGUUUUUAUCGAUUGCUAACUUUAAUAAUAUUGGUGUCCGGACCAGCUUGCGUGCACCUCGACUAAUUCCAUGGUACCUGUUUCUUCGUAUAUUUAAUUAUGUCAAAAAGCAGUUAUUAGAAGUGUUUAGCUUAGGUUCCAGUUUUAGAUUUUCUAUUGCAGUGUCUUAGUGUCACAAACUUAAGCAGUAACCUGUAAGCAGCCUCCUAAAAUGUGCACAAAGAGCAUCUUUAGAUUCAGGUAUACACUAUCACUAUUGCAUGCUUUUCCAAAACCUUGUGUUGGGUGCUUUGAGCACUGCUGCUCUUUUCUAAAUCAGACCCGUAAGAACUUAAUAACUUCAGCACAUCUGAAUGUUAUUUUGCAUUACCACAACAGAAGCUUGAUACUAAACCGGUAAUGAUUGAUGGAGGUGGUGUUAUUUUUUGCCAUCAAAUUGAAGUGUUACGAUUAGGCUUCUGAUUUCAUGACGUGGAUUGCAAAUUUACAAGGCAUUAUUAGUCAUAUAUGGAAUGUUGAAACUUCUAGAAAGGUUGGAGUUUAUGAAAUUACUGUUAAGUUUCACAACUGUGUUUCCCUCUCUUGUUUUUUUUGAAAAUUCCUCCUUUAUUACUUGGUCUUUUCUUUUUUCAUCUUCUGUUUUCUGGUAAUAAUCUCCUAUAAAACAUGUGCGCAAGUUCAUCAUUAUCUGAAGUCAGUUAGCACUGUAUCUUGCAAGACUUCAAAACUGCUUGCCUUUUCUCAUCCACCAUCCCUUUAUUUUGGUUGACUUCAGAUGUUAAACAUCCUUCUUAUGCUCAACUAAAGGAGUUGGAAAGCCUUAAUUAAAGGCAUGUCUGGUUAUGGUUGACAUCUUUUAAGUGUCUGGAAUCUUAUCCAUAGCCCAGGUUAUGAUAAACUGAUCAUGCUGCAACUAACCUUAGGCCAAAAAUAGUACGAAUAAUAACUAUGUUUGAUGCCUAAUGCUAUUCCUAUUGAGACCUUACCCGAGUAUGUUGUGAUCAAUUCUGAAAGCUCUCAUUGUGGCCAGGAAAUCUACUAGUUAAGAAAUUGGUGUAUUUGGUUUAAAAUUUCCUCCUCGUUCCUUUCCGUGUCUCACCAACUUUUGACUCUGUUCCUGUUGCAUAUUUUUCUCUACUUACUGAGCAGAAGUGCAUCUUUUUUUCUUUGUUUAAACUCCAUGUUAUUGCAUGGCUUAACUUUUUUCUGAUUCCUUGAUUGUUUACUUCGUUAUCUUGGGAAAUUUCAAGACAAAAAGCCAUUAGCCACAUAGUUUUUAACACUAUUGUCGUGUGCCAAUCAUUUGUCUUAGGAUUCCUGUAUUUGUCCUCUAUAGAAAGCCGGUGAAUUGGAGUGGCAUGUGAAGUUAAUCCAAUUGUACUCCUUUAUUACAGAGACAGGAAGUGUUUGCUAUGAAAAGGACAUGGAGAGGAAAAGGCUUACCUGAUUGGUUGCUUGACGCACAUGUGCCCUUUUCCUUCUGAAAGAGGGAAUUGUACUGGACUAGUGGUGCUAUCCUGAAAUGUAAGUCGACCAUUUGAAUGCCUUAUCUGGCAGAUGUCAGAUACAUUUUCUAAAACAAUACGAAAACUAAAUUAAAUCAGUUUAUAGCUACACCACAAUCUAAAAUAUUAGUAGCUUGGUGUAGAUGUUAGCAAAUGAUUCAUUUACUAACAAAUUGUUCAGCAAAAUUAGUUCCAAAACACACUAUUGAUAUGCAUGCCUAGCAUGAACAAGUUUGAUGCUUAGCUCAAUUGUGAUCAUUCUUUUUUCCUUACUGGCCCGAGAGGCGCAGCUGCGUCACUAUUAAUUUGUUAUAGUCUUCUUGAAUGUUUUUUUAGGUAUAGAAAUGAUCAGGAACAGUCCCAUUCUGAAGAACAUAAAGUACUAGGGAGAGCUUGAAUGUUACCCCUAUAAUUAAUGACAUAGAAAGUAUAAGUUCUCAUUUAUUUGUCACGACUGUUUUACUCUUCCAUCAAGGGUUAUGUUGGGAUAGAUAGGAUUCCAACACACUUAAUCAGAGAUCCUAAGUUCAAGCUCCAGAUAUAGAAAAAGUCCUGCUCGGAAACACUUCUCACUUUAAUGGGUGUUACAUGAUGCAAAUUCGAAUUAGUCUAGGCUCAAAUAUAGGUACCGAAUACCGGCUAAGGAAACGAAGAAAAGACACUUGCACUUUCUUGAGAAUGUUGGUAGGAAUGUGUUCAAAUCAUGCAUUUUCGUUAUAUGAGCAUACUGUUUAUUGAAGUUGAAAAGACACCAAAUUAAGGAAUCUGUAUGGUAGAUAACUUACUAAAAAUAUCCCCAGGACACUCAUUUUGAUAGUUUUAAAGGUCCUUUUGACCUUUAUGAGACGCAAAGUGCUAAUUAAUCCUACCGACUGUGAGUGGUACCAACAAACUUGAGGGGUCUCAACCACAAACUAAGCUAGCACUAUAGAGUAGUACAGUAUUAACUAACUUGUGUUUUAUUCAUCUUCUUUUGGUUUGGUAUAUGAUCCAUCCAACAAAUGAGCCGUCCAAAGUUAUGAAGCAAAUUGCUUCAUACUAGGCUGUCUGAUUAGGUCAUGACUUCUUAACUACACACGUUUUGCAUCUUCCUGCCAAACAAUUUAUCUUAUCCCAACAGAUACUUUAUUGUUACUCUGGGUAAAAUUUAACAAUCAUAAUGUGAAACUGACCCUCAGUAAUGCAUUUGGGAUGUGCAUAGUAGUGCCUAAUUUUUUAUGAAAGAAAAACAAAAGGUCACAAAAUUGCAUAAUUUUUACCGCAUUCUUCACUUUUUGGCUAGGAACUAGAUGGUCUCUAUUGUCCAUAUUUACAAAGAGGCUAAUUUGAUAGCUGAUAAUUUAGCCAAUUUUUGGUCUUUAUUUAGGAAUUUUGCUUUGAAUGAGUUUUAUAUGGGAUAUUUUCGGGGUCUCAUCCCCCACCCCUCUCUAGUUUCAGACUAAUUUCUUAUUAUUUUAAUUCUGAUAUUAAAAAAAGAGUGAAGUGUCAAAAAUCUAUCUAAAUUGUCUAUUUUUUGUUUAGUUUCACACCUAAACUAUUCCUCGUAUAAGUGCGAGAAACAUAUCUCAAUGUUGACUAGAUCAAUUUUGGACAAAUUUUGAGUUGGGCUUGAUUUCUGUAUUCGGUUCUCUUGGACAAAUUCUGAGUUGGGCUUGAAACUUGGAAUCACAAUGAUCACCAUGUUAUUGAAGAAUUAUUAUAUUCAAUAGCCACUUAUCAAACUGUUUAAAUUGAAAAUAGAAAAUAGUUUAUAAAUGUAUAAUAAAUACAUUUAUUCACGGACAAUAUAUGAAUAACCAUAUAAAUAGUAAUGUAUAAUCGUUAAUGUCUACUUAGCUUGAUAGAAAAAGUAAAUGGUAAAUUUGGCUGACUAUUUGUGAAAAGAUUCUAAUCUUAUAUCCACUCCUUCUUAAUCAUAUUACAUAGCCUUUGAAAUCAAUGUGGCAACAAUUUUACAAGUUAAAAUUAGAAAAUAGUCAUUUUUGGAUUUAUAAUUGAAAAAUAAUCAUAGUCAUUAAAAAUAACUAUUUUUUUCUUAUGGAUUACAAAUUUUGAAAAGUGAAGCUCCACAAUACCCCGGACAUAUUUCAAAAUUCAUGAUAGUAUUUUCAUUUGUUUUAAGUUGAAAAUUCAUAACAUUAAAAGUUCAUAUUUAUCAAUCAUUUUGCUUGAGUUGAAAAUUCAUAACAUUGUAAUGGUGUUUUCGCAUUAAAAGUUCAUAUUUAUCAAUCAAUUUUCAAACACGAGUUAUUAUUUUUAUUUUAAAUCAAUUAGAAAAGUGUAAGUCCGUACACUUCUUACAUUUUACAAUUACAACCAAAUAAAAAAGAACUAUAAUUUAUACCACACUUUUAAUUUCAAAGGACAGUCAUAUAGCUUGCUCAUUACUUAGCAGAAGAUCAUAGGCUUUACUACAUCAUAUGUAAUUAAAUAAAAAUGAAAAAUAAAACCUUUUUUUUAAAGAAAAAACGAAAGGAUGUAUACUGAAUUUAUAACCCUCUUUUUGAGAUGUAUAAAUAUUAAUAUUAAUUCCCGGGGUGGGGGGGGGGGGGGGGGGGGGGGGGGGGGGAGUGUAGUAGUUCAAGCUCCAGCUCGUACAAAAUAUAAUAUAUAGCCGAACCAAAAUAAAUUUGGUUUGGUAUGAUUUUUCUCUUUUUGGUUUGGAUUUUUUCGGUUCGGUUAAUCAAUUUCUUAAAUAUACUUUUUAAUAUAAAUCACAAGUAAAACGUAAAACACAAUACUUAAAAGUAUAUCAAUUAUAGAUGUCCAAACAUAAAAGGUAACGAAAAAGGGACAAAAGUAGUUAACUUCAACUUAAUUAUCUCUCUCUCUCUCUAUAUAUAUAUAUAAUUCAAUUUUUUGGUUUUUAUUUUUCUAAAUCCGAAACCAAACCAAAAGACCAAACAAAGUAAAUUAUAAAUCCAAAACCAAACCAAAAAUCCAAAAAACCAAUCCAAAUUAGAAUUCGGUUUGAUUUGAUUUGGUUUUUCGGUUUAAUCCAAACAUUGCACACCCCUAUAUAGCACUGAUAAUUUUCAAUGUCUAUAUUUAUUAGACAUUGAAUCUGAUCCUCUUUAACUUUUUCAUAUGUUAUUUUCUUUUAUUUAGAUCCCUUUUGAAAAUCUUGGCUACAACUACUAAAAUUUGGUCCAAAGUCUUAUAUUGUGCAUGUAUAUAUACAGUGCGUAUUGGGUGGUUCACUUCAAUUUUAAAUAUUAUCGAUUAUCAAUUUGUAGAUAUGUUAAAUCAUUAUCAAAUUAAUUUUAAAUCAUAAUUCUUGACCAAUAAAUCAAUAUUAUUUUUUCAAUUUGGGUUAUUUGUUUAUAUAAUACUAAAAAAAUAAAGUAAAGGUGAAAAAAUAGAUCAUAUUCAGCUCCCAUUUCAUACUCUUUUCACUUUCUCGAUCCUAUCUUAAUAAUAUAUGUAACCUUAAAAGAAGAUUGUAAUAAAGGUGUAUCAGAUACUAAUUCCAGAAUCAUUAUUUUAUGUUCUGCCAUAUCUUUCUAUCUUCCUUUAAUAUAUGUCUUCUGUUCCUUUCUCAUUUAGGUAAAUUCUUUUUUAUUCCCUAUAUAUAUUGAUCCUCAACAGAUAUAUUAAGUCACUGUUACCAGCAAGGAUUGUGGUGACUGCUCAGGUAUUAAGUAAUUCGUUAUCUUUAGAAGUUUUGAAUUUGAGUUCUUCUGAAUACAGAAUCGCACAUAGUAGCCUUUAUUUUCAUUAUCCACCAACUUUCAUAGUGUCGUAUAGAAUAAAACAUGUUUUCAUUUGUGCGUGCCAACAACUAAAAUCCCUGCUCACUUUAGUUACAUUCUUAAAAAGGGGAAAUAUUAUUUUUGAAGUGAGGAAUUAAAUUUCGUUUUCCAUCAAAAAAUAAAAAGAAAAGUUUAUCAGCUCAUGAUCAAAAGUUUUAGUUGUCUAUCAUAAUUAAGUGAUAAAUAAAAAUAAUUUUUUUUUAGUAAUUCAUCAUAGUAGCAUAUAAACUCUCUCUCCUUUCUCGAUAAAAAAUUAUAUAUGUGGUAUGUUUACACCAAAUCAAUAAAUAUAAAUACGUUUUUAAUAUACUUCAAAUCUAUCCUCACAAGAUAUGAAUAACGUCUACAUAUAAUAUUACUUUCUCCAAACUUCACAUGUGAGAUUACAGUGAAUAUACGUAAUCAAAACUAACCCCCCCACCCCACCCCCCCUUCCCCGUGUGCCACAUUUUCUCUCUUUUUCUUGUUUUUCGUUUAUCUGGGCCGACUAGAUAAUCACAAUAAAUGGAGGAUACCUACUUAUGAAAGUCAGCUCUUCACUUAUAUUUUAUGAACAUGACAGUUGUUUCAUCAAUCUUUUUUUAAUAGUUUCUAUCACCUUUGAUUUCAACAUAAUUUUACUACUACAUCGCUUAAGUCAAAAGAUUAGUACCUGUCUAAUACGCAAAGAUUAAAAAGUCUAAAGAUUGUUUUUUUCCUAAUUUUUUCUAUCGAUAUUUGAUAUUUUUAUUGAAAUUCCAAUUAAUUUAAAUUUACACUAUAUAUAAAAUCUAUAUAAGAGACGUUUUCUAAUAAGAUUUUCUCUUUUAAUAAAGAAAUUUUAUCAAUCUCGACCUCAAUAAUAUAAAAGUUGGUUAAUCAAUCACGCACGGAACAAGCUCAGUGAGAAGAAAAACAUAUAAAAUAUUUUACAAUUAGAUGGCUUUAUGUCAAGGGAUUAGUUCCGAGAGAGAGAGUAAUUAUUUGUUCCGUCUCUUAACAUUUUUGCUUUCUCAAAAGUUUAUUUAACUAAUUUAUGAAGUUAAAUUGAAUUAAACUAAUUUAAUAUUUUAAAUUUAAAAAUUAUACAAUAAGUAUCGUAGAUUAUAAAUCUCAUCAUGCUGAUUUCAUAAAAAUGUUAAUUCAAGUUCAUACAGGUAAGGAUAUAUUUUAAAUAGUUAUAUCGAUUGAAACUAUUAAGAAGUCUUUUACAUCGGAUGAAGGGAUGGAAAAUGGAUCUUCUUAUAUGGACUUGGACAAACCUUCUCUCAUGAGGUAGCUAUUCGGGUUGAGGUAGGCCCAAGUAUCAUAUCUUCAACAUGUUUUCAGAGCAGAUGGAGGUCCAGGGAUCGAAUCUCACCGCCUGCUCUUCCAAUGAAAAAGAAUUAUCAUUAGCUAAUAAAAGGUGCGCUCUCUCUAACAUCUCAUCUUUUAGAUGAAAUUGGCACACACUUCAACAUGAUAUCACAGUCGGGAUCAUCACAAUCUGUUGUUCACCGAUGUUAGGUCCCCCAUUAUAAGUGUUUAUGCUCCAGUUGAGGUCUGGGCGACUUGGACAAACUAGUGGCAUAGCUAUAACUAUCCUUUCGUUGGAAAAUUACGUUGUAUAUCUAUGUCAAAUUCUACAUUUAAAGAAUAUAUAUUUAAAGUUGGACACACUUGACAAAAGUUAUGUCUUUCGCUUAGUUGUAAUGGGUGUCCAUUUGAAUGAAUGAGUUCUAGGUUUAAACCACAAAUAGAACAAUAUUAUUUUGUUUUAUUCUUGUUUUAUUCUGACAGUCACACCCAAUUAUUUUUUGACACCCUCAAAAAAUUUAUUUUGACAACCACACACCAUUAUAUUUGGACACCCUUAAUAAAAUUUCUAGCUCCUCCACUUGAGACAGAGCAAACUUUUAAGAUUGAGUCAUGUCAAGUGCCAUAUCUUUAUAGAAACAAAUCGUAAUUCAUAUUUUUAAUGAAAUAUAUAGAUAAAUUUAAGGGAUUGUUGUAAGCCCAAGUUAUAACUAAAAAGUGGUUUCAAAUCCUGAAAUGACAAGUGGAGCAAGGUGAGUGGAAUUGAGAUGCUAAACAGUUACAAGGACGUUGUCGUAGCAAUAUCUCUUUUUGUAUAGCGUAGAAACGUAACGUGUCAAGUAAAUAGGAGUGAAAUGAGUAACAAUUAUGUCCAUGUAAUCUGCCCCUUCAAAUUUUAAAAAGAUUUCGACAAAUUUGAAAGAAGAAAAAAAAAAAAACACAAAAAGUUGAAAAAGGCAAAGAGAAAGAGCAACAAUAUACGUCACCCCACCGACUGAUUGGGACUUUGUUUUCAUCUCUAUGUAUGUAUAGUGUAUGUAUGUAUCUCUCUAUUUUUAUUUUUACCAAUAAAUGAUAAACUUGAAUUCAUAAAUUCUAGAAAAAUUGCAAUAAUAAAUUUUCUAUGCAUCUCUAUUUUGAAGAGAUACAUAUGUAUUUCAGUAUUUGUGUAUUUAUAUAUUUAUGUAUAUAUGAAAUUAAGAAGAGUUAACAGCUCUAAGGAUAUAUAUGUGUAUUUGUAUUUAAUUUUCUUCUUCUUAUUCUAAGAAUAUAUGUUUAUACAUAAAUACAUUGAGAACAUAGAGAUAUAUAUAUAUUAGCUUUGAACUGGAGAAAGUGUUUGAUCUAUGGUACUUAAAUUUAAUGCAUGUAUACUACUAUGGAAUAGAUACACGUUAAUAUAAAAAGAGUGUAAAACAACGAUACACAAAUGUAUAUAUAUGUCAAAUACAUGCAUGUAUGAUACUUAAAAUUAAAAUUGUGAAACUCGGAUAUAAUUUUAAAUGUGAUAUUUCUCUAAGAUAUAUUUAACUUGCACUCAAAUAUGUGAUAUGAAGUUAGGAUUUCAAUUUUGCAUUCACAUACAAUUGAAAAUCAUGAUUUAAAAAUUUAAAUUCUCCGUAAAGUAUGAUGAUUUACAAUUUCAAAUCAUUUAUUAUUUUUUUUUAAAUGUAACACUAGACUCGUAAGUUUAUAUAGUUUAUAAAAGAAAGAGUAAUCUUUUAAACUUUUGCAAGAAAGUCUCAUGCUCGGUAUGAACAUUGUUCGCACAAUAUUUAUGUUAAAAAAUAGUUAGUUAUUAUUAUUGUUGAUAAGUAAAGUUUUAUAAAAUUAUGUGUAUUGAAAAGUUUAUAAUCACAAAUAUUUAUUUAUAAAAAGAAAUGGAUACACACAAUUCGUCAAUGUAGUAUCUUACAAUAUUUCGAUAUUUUAUUUAUGUACUAUAAUUUACUCAUUUGGUAAAAUUAUAUAAGAAUUUAUAAAAUUUAAUAAUUUUCAUAAUUUGGAAACUAUUCGUGUUUAUUGAAAAAAAAGUACAAUUUGAAAAAUGCAAAAAAAACAUGUCUAAACAAUUUCAACUUUCUAUCAAUUUGAUUUGAUAUCAUGAUUUCAUAUAGCACGUUAAAGCGGGCCCUUGAUUAAUUACACUCACUAGGUGACCAAAGCUAAAAUUAUCUUUGGUUAUAAGUAGUCUCUUGUCAAGAGAAAUAAAUCAAAACACUUUAGUCCACAUCUCUUCUCUGCUCCAACACCCUCUUUGCUCUGUUUUAUUCCAAAAAAAAGCUUCUGUUUUUGGUUCUGGAACUUGGCUAUCUCUCUUUUUUUUUAUUUUAUAAUCAUAUCCCUGUAUUGAAUUUGUAAGCAAGGGUGAUGAUGUUUAUGGUGAUCGGGAGUAGGUGCUCUCACACUUCCCACAUCACUGAAAUCAUAAUCACAAGCUUCUUUCGCCACAAGCUAUAGAUCUCUAUUAAUUCCAUAUAGUAUAUAGUUUUAAUACAAGAAAGCAAUAUAUAUUUAAAAGGGAUAUUUAUCAAGAACCCCAAAUUCUUGAUUACAUAACGAAACGAGUGGAUAUGGGUGUUUCUUGAAAAGAUCUCUGUUUUAUAAUUUUAAAAAAAUAUCUGUAGAAUUCGAAGCUAUGAUGGCUCCAGGGAUUCUCUACGGUGGUGCUUCUAAUUUCGAUGGCGUUUUUACUCAAAAACAGAGGGAUGUGUUUUCUUCAUCUACUGCGCCAAAAGGGCAUCUUGGUUCCCUUUUUGCCCCUGCCUGUUCUUCUAAUUUCUUGGGUAUAUAUUUCUUACACCGUUGACUUUGUAUAUUUUUAUUUGGUUAGUAUUGGUUUGGAUAGAAAUCUUAUUUGUUUGUAUGAAUUUGUGAUAUUUUCCCCUUAAAUAUUGAAUUGAAUUACUAUUGUGAUCAUUUUUGUUGAUUGGCCUAAGAUAGUUGUAAGCUCAUCCAUCUAGUGAUGAAAUUGAAUUUGUAUAGCAAAUUGUAAUAGAAAAAGUUGGGUUUGAUGAGAUUGAGUUGAGGAUCUUUCGGAAACAGGGUCUCCAUCUCGUGUGGAGUGGUAAGGUCUAUGCACACUCUACACUCCCGAGAUUCCAUUUAGUGGGACUUCACUAGGGUAUGUUGUUGUAAAUUGUAAUAGAAAGUAGAGAUACAAGAGCAACUGAUGAUGUCUUGAUAUGAAGAAUACUAGAAAGUCUUAGCUAGUUUUAAAUGGAACUGAAUAUUGGUCAAAAUUGAUAACUUGGUAGUAAUUUGUUCUGUGGGUAUUUUUAUCUAUCAGGAUCCAGUUCUAUGGUCAGUUUUGGCGGUGUUAAUGGAGGGAAAAGGUCAUUCUUUGACUCGUUCGAUCAGGAUGACAAUGAAGCUGAUGAAUUGGGGGAGUAUUUUCAUCAAGCGGAGAAGAAGAGGCGACUUACUGACAACCAAGUUCAGUUUCUUGAGAAGAGUUUUGGGGAAGAGAACAAACUUGAACCUGAAAGAAAAGUUCAGCUUGCUAAAGAACUUGGUUUGCAGCCUCGCCAAAUUGCAAUUUGGUUUCAGAAUCGUCGUGCACGAUGGAAGACUAAGCAGCUUGAGAAAGAUUAUGAUGAACUGAGGAAUAGAUACGACGCUCUGAAAUCAAAUUACAAUAAUCUUCUCAAGGAAAAAGAAGAUCUUCGAACUGAAGUAAGGACCUUUAUUAUAUUUGCAUCAUAUUUGGUACUUAAUUAAAUGUAAUUUCAUUUUCGUGAGCCCUUGGGCUAUGCUUAUGUUUGAUGGUUCAAUCCUUAAUUCAGGUUUUCCAUCUCACCGAUAAGCUGUUUGUCAAAGAGAAAGGAAACGGGCAAAUUGAUUUACGCGAUGAAAACAAACACUCCGAUGCAUUGGCAAAAGAAACCGUGGCUGAUCCAAUUUCAGGAGUAGAAAUGUCCAAUGUACCAGCUCUGGUUGUUAAGCACCAGCAGGAAGAUUUAAGCUCUGCUAAGAGUGAUGUUUUUGACUCAGAGAGCCCACGUUACACCGGUAGGGUGCAUUCCUCAGUCAUAGAUCAGGGUGAUUCUGCUCGCGUAUUUGAAACUGAGCAGUCGGAUUUAUCUCAGGAUGAUGAUGAAAACUUCAGCAAGACUAUGCUUUCUACUGCCAACCUACUUGGCAAAGCCGCGGAUGAUGAUUAUCCCGCGACAUCAUCAAAUUUGAGUUACUUUGGAUUUCCAGUUGAAGACCAAGGUUUUGGUUUCUGGACUUAUUAAGCUAAUGUUUGUAUUUGAUUAGUAGUAAUGCGGAAUACUAUUUAAUGUGUCCUAGUAAUAUGUCAUAUAUUUGGAGACAUUGUAUUAUAGUAGCACAUUUCUGUAAUAAAUAAAGUCCAAUGUAUGGGUCCAGAACACUAAUGAGUUCUGCUCACAAAACAGUUUGGAACUAUGGCUAUUGCGCUUUGCAAACCUGUUGUGAAAUCUAACUUUUCUUUUGUCAAUUAGCACAUCAUGUUUUUUUUUCUUCUGAAAUUACGCCAUUGGAGUCCCUAUUGGUGAUCACAACUCAACUAUACCAUGAAAAGGUCCAAAUUCGCGCUGUAGCUUGUACUUUGAGAAAAUGUCUUAACUUUGCUAUCCGUUAGAAGUUUACCUCAUUCAUAUUCUUGUUGAUAAAAGGUCCAGAUAUAACCUUGUGGUUUACGAAAAGGUCUAACCUUGCCCUCCAAUGAAAUGAAUUACACAAAAUAUUAUGUACUAUUAAGUUUAUGGCUUAUAAAGAAAAAACGAUUCAGUUCAUGGAAACAAGAGGUUGAAAAAUCAAAUAGAACGGUAUUUAUCAGGUCAAAAUUAGAUUUACCAUAUAAGGUCAAACUUUAGAAAUUCGAUAUUUGUUAUCUACUAUCAAUUAUUAAUUCCUGAAUUUUGAAAAUAUCGAAUCGAAUAUCAACGUCGACCGUAAUGAUAAGUCAGAAGGAAUAAGUGCAAUGAAACAAGAGUUGGGUGGAUAUUAGUCGUAAGAGAAGAUUAAUCAAUGGAGAAGUUGUCAAACAGUAAGUGUAGGGUCCUUAAUUAAAUCUUGAAGUCUCUCAAAUGAAUCAUUUAUCUUUUGGAUGUUAGCACAUUAAUAUACCUAGCUUUAACCUUAUUUUUAUUCAAACAAAAUUGACUUAUUCUUCUUUGGACAGACAUUCGAAAUAAGGGUAAACAAUACAAAAAAGACGUUUUGGGGGGGGGGGGGGGGGAGGAUCGACGACCCCUUUGNNNNNNNNNNNNNNNNNNNNNNNNNNNNNNNNNNNNNNNNNNNNNNNNNNNNNNNNNNNNNNNNNNNNNNNNNNNNNNNNNNNNNNNNNNNNNNNNNNNNNNNNNNNNNNNNNNNNNNNNNNNNNNNNNNNNNNNNNNNNNNNNNNNNNNNNNNNNNNNNNNNNNNNNNNNNNNNNNNNNNNNNNNNNNNNNNNNNNNNNNNNNNNNNNNNNNNNNNNNNNNNNNNNNNNNNNNNNNNNNNNNNNNNNNNNNNNNNNNNNNNNNNNNNNNNNNNNNNNNNNNNNNNNNNNNNNNNNNNNNNNNNNNNNNNNNNNNNNNNNNNNNNNNNNNNNNNNNNNNNNNNNNNNNNNNGGGGGGGGGGGGGGGGGGGGGGGGGGGGGGGUUCAGAAUCGCCCUAUACCUGGUCGAAAAGUCAUAAACUAUUUCACCAACAAACAAUACAAACCAAGAAUAUUUAAUGCGACAUCUAAAAACAUAUCUCGUGGAGGCACACGAUCCGAUCUUACAGAUGUGCUUAAACUUAGUAUCAACUUGAGAUCAUUAUAGAAAUUUAUAAAUUUCAAAUUCUAAAUCGGCCCGUGAUUCAGUUUAGCUAUCUAAUAUUUAAACAUGUACAUCAACCAUAGACCUAUUCCUUUUGGGAGAAUUUGAAAUAAAAAAAAUUGAUGAUGCUCACACUAAAAAAUUACAAGCACUUUUAAAAGAAUGCUAAGCUAACCAACUAUGACAAAUACUAUACCAAGUCAUGAAGGAAAAGUAAAUUACUUUGUAGAUUUUAAUAUUUUGAAAGUACGAUGUUUAUACUUAAAUAUGUCUUACAUGAGUAGGAUAUCAACACAAGUUAAACCACGUAAACUGAUUAUCACUUAUAAAUUAAAUAAAUUAGUGGCUAAUAAGCACUUACCGUAGGUGGUUGAGCAAAAAGGAAGAAGUUUUUAUGAAUUAAAUAAAAAUCUCAUUUCUAUUUUUGCUUCUCUGAGGCAGAACGGAACUCAUAUUAAAUUAAACUCAACAAUAAAUAAAACUAUUUUCCAAAAUAAAUUAGUCAAAAGUACUUAAAAGAUUAAUAUCCACAAUCGUCUUUCUAUUUUGCACCCCAGAGCAUUAAGAAAAAAAAAUACUACAAAGUUGCUGAUAUCAAAGGUAACGCGUGUAAGAACAAGGCAUCGAUGUCCUUGUCACCAACAGGUGUUAAUUGUUAUCGCGAUGAUUGAAAUUUCUCCAUCCUAAAUUGAAGACUUCGAAUCAAAGUAUGAAAAUACUAUGAAAAAAUUAGCUAAAUACACAUCUUAUUGUAUCAUAAUCUCUAAAUUUCCUACAAUUUUUUUGUUUAAAAAAAAUCCUCUCUGAUACAUCACUCUCCUCUCGCUGAUACAUCCGUAUCUCCCUCUCGGAUACAUCUAUCUCCUCUUUGAUACAUCCCUUCCCUCUCGAAUACAUCCCUCCCCUCUAUGAUACAUCCCUCCCCUCUAUGAUGCAUCCCUCUCCUAUGUAUCCGGAUGUCCUAUCCCCUCUUCUGAUAUAUCCCUCCUCUCUCGGAUACAUCCCUCCCCCUUUGAGACAUCCCUUUCCUCUCUGAUACAUCCCUCUCCUACGUAUCCGGAUGUCCUAUCUUCUCUCUGAUACAUACCUCCUCCCCUCGGGAGACAUCCCUCCCCUAUGUAUCUGGAUGUUUGCUGAUGUAUCUGGACAGUGGCAGAGCCAUGCUUUUCAAUAAAAGGAUUCAAAAUCUGAAGAAAUAGACACACGCAGUAGCCGAAGGGGGUUCAACAUCUAUUAUAUAUACCUAAAAAAUUAUUUUAACCAUGUAUAAAUAAUAUAAUUUUUUGCCGAAGGGGGUUCGGAUGAACCCCUGAGAAUAAGGUGGCUCUGCCACUGUAUCUGGAGGUCCAGUGAUGUAUUUGAAAUCCAUAAAUUUUAAGGGAUUUUUAUAAUUUGAAAAAUAAGAGUGAAAUAAAAUAAUCAACUCUUUUAUACGAAGAUUAUUAAUGGGGUAAAUCUUAAUUAGUCUCACUAGUUGGCUACUAGUCACACUAUACUCUAAAAAUAAAAUAUAAAAAAAAAGGAGACGUUGUUGUCAAGAAGGUCGUAAUUAAAACCGUGCUUAGCACUAAACCACUACAUCAAUCAAAUAUCAUGACAACCCCACCAAGCAAAGAAACUCCAAUAUAUACUAAUGUGGUCCACCUCUAAUUUGUAUUUAUGCCUUUUAUAUGUGGCAAUUGUCAUUAAUUUAAAAGAUUAUGCUAAUACAUGUACGGUCUAAAAGUCCAUUGGCCCCGCCCCAAAAUUUCUUCUCUUUACUUUUGAUGCUGAAAUUUCCAUUUUAAAAAUAUUGAGGAAAUAAGAUUUUUUUGUCCUUUUACUUAAAAUAAAAUAAAAAAAAGAAAUUUUUUAAACUCUGUAUAGAUAAAGGUAUCUUAUAAAAAAAAUAAUUAUAAGAGACUAGAAAAUUAUUUCUCUAAAAAAUUUCUGGUGUGAAUAUUUUAUUUUUUUAUAUAGAAUUUCCAAACUUCUCCAUUAUGAAACUCCCACUUAGAAAUUAAAAUUGCUUUGAACAAUAAUGUUUUAGAGAUUCUUUAACUUUUCCAUUAUAAAUCAUGAAUCAAUUUAUAUAUUAUUUUAUGUAUGAUAAAAGAUGAAGUAACUAAUAUAUAAAUAAUCAAAUCUUGUAUAAUUAGUUUAUAUAUUAUUAAUAUUUGUAUAGCUCUAAUUAGCAAUCAAACGACUCCUUAUUGUAUUAUGUGUGCUUGAAUUAUGGUAUUAAAUAUAUUUGAUUUAUUGAAAUAAAAAGCAAACUGCUAAUUAGCCCGUCUAUCUUUGAGCUAAGGUCGUGCAUAAAGACGCAAAGUUUUCAACUUUUUUUUAAUUAUAAAUGUUGAUUUGAGUUCUCUUUGUUAGUUAUAUAAAAAAAAAACUUUAUUAUUGUUAAUUAUAAAGAAAUGGCUCUUGAUUCACAUGCAUUCGACAUACUGGUCUAUAAAGGCCAAAAAGCAAAUUUAAACUUUUCAUUUAUUUAUUUUGUUGUAACAUCUCCUCCCACAUGGCUGCUCCUGGUCACCAUGGGCUGAACUACGUGAGAUCAAUAGGAUUUGAAUUUCUUCCCGCAAAAAAUUACAUUGUAUAUAUAUGAUUAAAAUUAUUUUUAUUUAUAUAAUAGAUUUUGAUCAAUUCCUUUGCUUGUUCGUGCACUUGGUUUUUCAAAUUUUAAAUCUUUAUAUUGAAAAAUUGAGUUCCACCACUUCUGACCUAGCUAUAUAAAAAAUUUAAGUUUAGCAGAAAAGAAUCCCAAUGUAUGGUCCUAAUUUAAACACGCCACCUACACGACUCACUACAUAGGUUUAAGGAAUGCAGGAUAAUAUGGUUCCUAAAAAUAGAUAAAGUCACCUCUAACUUAAACUUUGUGGGAAUCUUGUUAAAGUUGUGUCCUAAAAAAUUUAAUGACUAGCUUAAGGUUAACUUUAUGCAUUUUCUCUUUAUAGGGUACUUUUUUUUUCACCCCUUUAUAGGGUACUUGGGUAUGAUUUUCCGUCUGACUGAAACAAUAUUGGUAAAGUCUUCAGUAAAUAAGUAAUGUAAUAUAUAGCUUAUGAUGAUCACAAAUUAGUGAUAUUUUUCUAAUAUAUAGUACAAUAAUAUGAUGCUGAUAAUUUCCAGAAUGAUAUAUGUUAUUCACAAAUACAAUUUCUGGGUUGAAUGAGAAUCAUAUGAUCUUAUUCACAAAUAUAAACCGAAAUGCAUCCACUUGACUUUGUACAUCAGAAUUUGACAUUUUCUUUUAGGUAACACACAAUCUCUUGCUGCAAUAAUCAGAAAACGAGAGCAUUAAUAGACAGUCUGUGUUUAUAUAUAACACACAAAUGUUUAUCCACAAGUUUCAAAAAUCUUAUAGUGCAACAAUCGAAUGUUAUGACAUCGUCAAGACAACAAAUUUCAAAAGAACUCUUUGUUUCUUUCUUAAAUAAAAAUUCGAUUCAAGUAAAAUAAUGACAAAACAAAUAAAACGGUAAGUAGUUAAAAAGGUGCAGAGAGGAAACAAAACUUACUAUUAAACAGAGAAGAAUGCAACCAGCAGCUCCAGGGAACAGAGCAUACCAAUAGUUGAGCUGAUGCAACUUAGCUCCAUCAAUGAACAAUAGCGGCAAACUUGCAGCUACAACACAAAACACAAAUUUAGCACAACAACUUCGAAUAUACAUUACCAUAAGAUCUUUUUUUUUUAAAAAAAUGAGAGAUAAUUUGCAAACUAAUUUACCAGGAGGAUGAACAGAGCGAGUAUAAAUCAUGAAAGCCAUGGCAGCAGAAAGGGCGGUGCUUCGAGCUAGCCAACAUGGGCCCAAUAUUGUUAAUGCCAAAACACCAAUGGCUGCACAACCGAUUUGUGCCAUAAACAUAUUGUACUUCUGCACAUUCAUAUCACAUAAUUCCAAAGUUAAUUACUUAGACGAUCAUUCAACUAAUAGUCGCUCAAUUUUGUUGUGUAACAGAAAAGUCACCCAACUAUUAUCAUUUCACCUACACCGUAUUUUUUCUUUUCGGAAGACUUAAUCUGGAUUCAUUUGUUUAGUUAUGACUUAUGAACUUGCUUAUUCAAAUUCUUAUGUUUAAAUUGAUACUUGAGUGACUAAAAAAUCAAAUUUGAGUGACUUUCUGAGAAAAAAAGAGAGUUUAUAGUUGAGUGAUCAUUUGUGAUAUUAUCUCUAUAAUUUUCUAUAUAGACGGUAUAAUUUUUAGAAAAAGAAUGUUCAAUUGACCAGCCUGAUGGCUAUGCCAACACUACUUAUGAAAUUAUACUAAUGUUAUUGUUGUUGUAUUAGCAUGAUUACUCAUAACUCAUAACAGACAAGCCUAUCUAAUGGCCUCCCCCAACUCUUUAUAUUUUUCCUUAAUAUUUUCAAAAUUAUAUUGUAUGCAUUUUGUACAGUAAUUAUUUUAAUGUGUAAAAUGUUCCGUUCUACUAAUGCUCUCAUUCUCCCAGGAGUAAUACGUUAAAGAAUCACUCUUGUUUCUUUUUUUGACACGGUUGUUAAGGUACACUAAGGAAUCGUUUGGUUAGGAAUUAGUUAUGAAAAGAUUAAUAAUGUAAGAUUUUAGUGUAAAAUUUAAUAAUGGAGGUGUUGUAAUUUACGGAUUAUUAAUGCAGGUAUUAAUGUAUUCAUGAUUAUUCUCAUCUCUUGUACAAAUGGAUAGGAUAAAAUAUGUGUUAGUUUAACUUUUCAAAAAAGGAUUGUUAAUACAAUAGGUCAUUUUGGUCAUAUUAAUUGCUUUAAUCCACGAAUUACUAUAAUCUGUGUAUUUUUAUUUUACUUUUUAUCUCAGUUUAAAAAAUACACAGCUCAACAAUUCACUUAAUAUAGGUUAGAGGGAGUUAUUUAUGUUAUCAACAAAAAUGACAAUCAAGUAGUGUAUAAGUAAUGCUGAGUUUUAUGCAACUCAAGAAAACAUUUUAUUCCCUCCAUUCAUUUUUACUUGUCUAUUAUAUUAAAAAUACACUCACUUUCUCUUGUUACUUUUAGCAUGUCAAGAGAAAAACAUAUGUUUUUAUCCUUAACAUUAAUUACUUAUUCUUCAAAUCAUUUUUCAAUCCAAAACUAAACAUCAAUAUAUUAAUAUGAAUAUUAAGUUAAAAUAUUCAUGCCAAUCACUAUUUUUAAGAGACCUGCAAAGUCCAAAGUAAACAGUGAAUGUCACUUAUGAUGAAUUUUUAUGCAGGUAUUAUCACUCCUAAUAAUACUUGAAGCCAGACCAACACCAAGGGGUCGUUUGGUACAAAUGCAAGUUAUUGGGGAGUUAGAUAUGUAUUUUAUUCUAUAAUCAGAUAUUAGUAAGGCAGGAAUUAUUAUGCAUGGUUUAAUAUUAUUGUAGAGAUUGUAAUGCAAUGAUUAUUAGUUGUUAGAUGUUUGGUUUAGUACAUUAAAGUAAUUAAUUUCGUAGAUCAUGAGGCCUGAGGGUGAUUCUGUUUUUUAGUUGAUUUGAUAUUGCUAAUACUCAUAUUUUAUCCCAUAUAAAAUAAAAUAACGCAUAUAUGUUAAUUUAUUAGGAAAUCAAAGUAACACCAAACAAUGUAUAAAAAGAAUUAAUGUAUAGAUUAAUGUUAAAUAUGACUAAUUCUUCCUAUAGGCCAACCAAAUCGAUCCUAGGUAAUCAUGUCCAUGAUCUAACUUUUAUCGACAAAAUGAUGCAAUUGAGUGUUGAUAAGCACAAUUAAGGCUUUCAAUUGGUUGAGAGACAAAGUUAUAUAUACUCUAUAUCAAGGAGCCAAUUAAGUUACAUGUUCACUUAAUGACAAAUUUUUUUACUAUUUUCUUUCUUCUUUUGGCAUAUCAGAAACAGAGCUAAGCAAUCAACAACUUGUAUUAUAAUUUUGUACAUACAAGUAGUAAUUUAUAAACUAGAAAAUGCACAAGCCACGAGAAAGGCACUAAAGGAUCCUAGACAGACUGAGCAAAAGCUUUUUAAAAUGGAAGAUCCAAUCAAGACUUGCAAGAGAGAAAUAAAAAAAAUUAAAAGGUACAUACUACUUGAUACUGGUAACCAAAUUAAGGACUUUUGUAUUGAUUACUUAUCUUUUAACACUUUCUUGUUUUGGGAAGAUGACAACAAGACGAGUUAGUAUCCACAACUAGUGAUUUCUGUUUUCACUUCAUGAAUCCAAAGAUUGUACAUGUUCAAGUGGUUCUUUCCCACUAGACUUCUCGUUUCUAUAUUCUCAUACGCAAAGCAACCCGUGUUAGCAGGUUUAGAAAAGGGUAAUAUCCCAAAGUGUGAUAUAAACGGUCUAUAAAUAUAAGCAUUAGUGGCUCCAAGACUCACUAAUAAAAAAUUACUGUUUUCUAAUUGAUUUCCCAUUGAAAAAUAUUUAGUGACUAUUCCCACAAUUAUUUUUUAUUGAAUCACUGAGAAAAGAAAAUAAAUUAAAGUAGUGUUUUCAUAAGAAAAAACUAAAAACUUUUCAGUGUUUCAGUAAGAAUCUAUUUCUCACUAUGAGUUUUUCAGUGAGCUGGUUCAAUGUAAAUUAAGUGAGAAAAUCAUGUUUAUAACACAAAUUUUCCAUUUAUUCUUAGUGGAAAAAAACUCUGAUUCUAACUCCUCUUCACGUAGUUGAAAGCUGAAAUUGUUUAGUGGUAAUUAUGAGAACAAUAUGGUUUCUCAUGUUAGUUUUGGGUGUUGGCUUUUGUAUAAUAUUAGGAAAAAGAACUAGUUUCGAAACUCAUCAGUUCAAUUAUUACUCCAUUCAUUUCAAAUUUGAUAUAAGUUGACUUAAUUUAAAACUGAAAUUGUUUAGUAGUAAUUAUAAUUACAAGUUACAACGUUAGUUUUGGGUGGUGAAUUUAGUACAACUAUCUAAAAAAUACAUGUGAUUAGAAUUGCGGAUCCCACAUUGGAGCUCCAACUAAAUUUAAAUUGCGCUCUGCAGGGCCCAUUCGGGAGAGGCGCUCUCAACAAGAUUUUCUCCAUACCCAGGAAUCGAACCCGAGUCCUCUGGUUAAGGGUGAAGCACUCCCACCAGUGCACCACAACCCAUGUUGGUACAGUCGGAUGUAGUUGACACGAUGGAAGUGAUCAUUUUCUGAUGCGUAAAGAAAAACUGAUUUCAAGGAAAAUAGUGAGAAUGACUUCCAUUACUUAUUAGCGGAAGUGACCUUAAAAUUUGAUACUUGUUGAUUUAGACCAAAAAUAUUACAGAAUAUUUAUCAAUUACCCCCACCAAAACUUGGUCACAUGAAAAAAUGACUUCAUAUUUUCUGUCUCCACAAAGAUUUGAACUUCUAUGCUAAUCGAAGGUACCUCAGGUCAAUUCUCAGAAUUAACCUAAAAAAAAAAUUAAAGCUACAGUUGGCAAUUGGAUAUAAACUAAUAUAUAUGACCAUAUUUAUCACAUGUGAAGGAGCAUAUAUAUACAUAUAUUAUAUAAAAUAAGAUGCAGCUGCUGUAAACCGUCCAGCUAAAACAACCAGUACCCUUCUCCGCUCACCCUACCCACAAAAAUAAAAAAACGAUAGCACUAGGCAAGAUAAACUUUUAGCAAAGGAAUAUGCUCUUUAUGUCCUAACUUUUUGUUUUCCAAGAUUCAAAAUAUAAGUAAUUUUGAUUGAAGUAAAAUUAUAGUAGUAUUUUUUAGACGAAAAAUAAAUAUCACAUAAAUUAAAACAAACAAUAAAUAAUGAGAAAUAAGAAAGCGUACCCUAGCACCGGGAGAAGCAGGAGUGGCAAAUAGGACAGCACAAACAGCUCCUAGUGGAGCUAUAGUCAUAGAUAUCCCUUUUGCUGCCAAUAUUUGGUCUAUUUUUCCUAGCAUCGCCAUUGCCGCAAAUGCCCCUAUAUAUUUAUUAUAGUAAAUAAAUGCAUUAAUUUUGACCUCAUAUCAAAAUAGGGUAAGUAUUAUUACUGAGAGAACCCUACCUGCAGAAGGCCAAAUAAUGUCACUUAGUGGAGGAGCUUUCGAGGACUUUUCUGGCAUCCAACCAUCCCAUACUCCUGCCGAUGCUCUAAUGGAUUUUUUUCUUUUAGUUACUGUCCUGUUUGCUAGUAUUCUUUCGUUCAAACCCAAUCUCCCAAGUCCUAAGAUUCUGUUUUCAUUUGAAGAAUUCAGUACAGAAAAUGUGUGCGAGGACGAAAAAGACGUCGGUGGAAGCAAAAUGCAAUGAUUAGGGAGAUAACUAGAACGGAGAUGAAGCUGCGCAUUCAUUUUUUCCGAUAGAUUUGUUGUUCUACGCAAAAUAGAGUAGUGACAUAUGAACAACCAUCAAUCAACAAGGCAGAAUGAACAAUUUUUGGAUUGCACUUUUUAAAUUUAAUUUUUGAUUUGGGUGGAUUAGGGUGGUUCAAGUUAGAACAAAGAUACCCCUUUGGGUGGAAGUUGGAAAUUGGGAUGAGCGCCAGGGACGAGACUCUUCAAUAUAUUGAAGGGGCAUAUCAACCCCCUUAUAAGUAGUGGUGGGGGUAUCCAGCUCCGCUAAUUUUGUCCAAUUGUCUUUUAUUAUUAUUAGACCCCUCCAAGAGUGUGGUUUUAAAGGGCCAAUUGAAUUAGUACCCUAUUAUAUUAUUUUCCUAACGACAUCUUAGGUUUUACAAAUAAAAAAAUAUUUGGGUUUGAUGUAGUUGAGUCAAACGUCUAUCGGAAACAGUUUUUCUAUUUUCACGAAAUAGUAAUAAAAUUUGCUUAUACUCUACCUUCUUUAGACUUCACUUAGUGAGAUUUACUGAAUUUGUUAUUGUUGUUGAUGUAAAAAGUAACAUGCCCUUUGUUCGAUAUUAAUUAUCCUAAUUUAUAAAUAGUUUUUUUAAUGUACUUGUCAAUUUUCAAAUCAAAAUAGAUAUCAUUAUAUUUUUUUCUAUUUUAUCCUUGUAAUUAAUUCUUUUAAAUUAAAAGUAUGGGUAAAAUAAGUUUGAAUUUUUUUAAAGAAGUCUUAUAUUUUACUUGUGAUUUCUCAUAAAGCGUGUAAAGGAAUUAAUACGAAACGAAGAGUAUAUUUUUAUAUUUAAAUUAACAAGAACAAGAACAACAAAAGUUUAUUUUCUUAAACUUCGUGUCAAAUCAAAUUCGAUCAUUCUUUAUAAAACGAAGAAAGUACAUAGUGAACACAUUAAAAAUAGUGAUCGUUUAAAAUUGUCAGUGACUAUAAAAAAAAAUGAUUUAUAAUUUGUUUAAAAGUAAUUGGGGAGUAAAAUGACGUUGGAGUUUGGGAAAAAGAUAAGUAGAGGUAACAUAUCAUUAAUUUUCAAUUCAUGCAUUAUGCAAAGGGUUAUGGGCGGCCAUGCUCUUAUCACAAAAGCCGCCGUCUUUUCCGGGCCAGCCUCAAAGAAUGUUUUACGUUUGAUUAAAUUUACUAUGGGUACAUUACAUAUAUUAAUUAUUCAAACUGGCAUAUUCCAAUAAGAGUUUGCCCAAUACUCUCUCCGUCUCAUAUUAUAUGUCAUAUUUGUCAUUUGCACUUCCAUUAAGAAAUAAGGUAAUUUUAUUCUUAUGCCCUUAUUUAAUUUUUACUUAUGAUAACUUUGUAAUAAAUGAUAAAAUGUUAGAUUUCAAAAAUAUAAAUGCAUUUGGAUGACUAUUUAAAUUUUAGAGUUUAUUUUUAGACUCAAUUUUUUUCACCAAUUGAUCCAAAAAAAUUAAAAAAUCAAAUUUUUCCCACCUCAAUUUUCUUAUAUAUUUUGUGUAAAAUGUUUUUUUAUAUUUUUAUAUAUAAAUUCUUAAAGCAAACAUGACAACAUCACAAAAUAUUCAAAUUCCAUUACUUCAAAUUGAUCUAAAUUUUCCUUUGAACUUUUGAAAUGUCAUCUUCCUUGAUAAAAUUUGUUGAAGCUUCAACUUUCAAGAUUAUUUUUUAAUUUUUUUUUCAUCUUUUAUUUUUAAUUUUUUUGUUGAUAUAUUUUUUUUAAAUCAAAUUUUAUAGAAUAAGUAGUUAAUUAAUGAAUGUAGUACUCUCCCAAUGAAAUUAAUUACUUGUAGAUUUCCUAGGUUAGUCAAAGUAAAUACAUUUUCAAGAUUAAUUAAUUAUCUAUCAAGGGUAUAAUGGGCAAAAAAUGGUAAUUUAUGCAUAAAUUUUAUAAAAUGACAUAUAUUGUGCUCCAAUUAUUUUUAGAAAGGGGCAACAUAUAAUAUGGGACGGAGGGAGUAUAUAUUUAUAUAUACAACAAAUUACACUAAUUACUUGCAAAAUAAGAUGUUAAAAAUGAAGAAAUAAAUAUUUAUGAGGCGUGAAUAUAUCGUUCUAUUUAAGGAGAUUAAAAUUUACUGUAAUAUAAUCUUCACUAAUUCAACAUUAUAACUUUUAAUUUGUCUUUUCUUCAUGAUAAAACAGUCCAACAACGCUAUAUAACUCAAAUAUAGCAAACACCUCUCAUGUAUGUCGAUGUAAGACUUCUUAUCCUGAUUAGGGGUGUCAGUGUCACAUACACGCCUUCUUAUGGACUCUCUGGUGACGGAGCCACGACCGACACCCCUUCGUCAGAAAAUUACAUUGUGUAGCUAGAAUGAAAAUAUUUUUUAUGUAUAUAUAUAUUACAUAUUGGCAUUCCUUGGCUUCUAUACAAUUUUAUUUCUUUAUAUUUUGACAGCCCUUAGGUGAAAUUCUAGCUCCGCCAUUGGACUCAACAUCUUAGCUGAGGUUUGCCCCACCGUAUGAGAUUUGUCUAGAUUCAACAUUAAGGUUUGUCUCACCUUAUCGGAAUUUACUUAAACUUAGUUAAGCUCAAAUUCACCACUUCGACAAGGCUGAUACAUGAGAGACUCUGAUACUAUUUAUAACGGUCUAGCCCGCUAGUGAUAUUAUUUGUUUUGAGUGUGGGCCCACACGAUUUAUGACACAUCACUAGUGUGUAAGACAUGCUUACUUAUAUAAUAAAAAUUUUCCUGUAUUUUUGCCAUUGUGAACCUUUUUAUCCUAAGUUGGAGUGUCACACUAAUUAUCAUACACUUAAUAUUUUUUAUUUCUAAUACUAAAAAUGCGUAAUAAUACUAACAAUUAUUAUUUUAUUGUUAAUACAAAAUAUAGAAUACGAAUAAUAUUUGAAUUAUCAAAACAUUAAAAUACCAUUAGAGUAGACAAUUAAUGUGUUAAGUCCACAUAAUAUUGUUAAUUAACUGUAACUCAUAUAAAUUCAUGUUUUUUUAAACCAAUACAUGCGCAUAUAAAUAAAAAUAAAAAUGUAGUUUAUAAUACAUCGAUUAUUUGGAGUCUUGGACAUAUCGCCACUGCCAAAAAUGCCAACGUUUUCUGUGUUUGGACGUUUGGACAUGUACCGUUAUGCAAUUUUUUUUUUUUAAUUACCACUACUUUAAUAAAAAAAUACUUAAAUCUAAUGAUUUCAAAUGAUAUUUGAGGAAUCUUAGUUACUCAAUCGGUUGGCUACGUGACUUUUCACGUUGUUAGUGAUUAGUGAGAAUUCGAUUCUUCACCCGCUCAUUUUCCCAUUCUCCUAACUCCUAUUUACAAUAAUAAUAAUAAUAAAAAUAAAAGUUGAUAAUGUUUGACAAACUAAUAAUGCUUAGAACAGUCACAAAAACUUGUCUUGUUACGUUGUUUCCUUUUCACUACACUUAUAUAAAAACACCAACAAAAACAAAAAAAAAAGUAUAUAUUAUUACACUAGUGUGGGGGACAAGUACAUUGAUAGCUGCUUCGAGCAUCACUGUUUAUAGAAUAGUCAACAUUACAAAUUAUGUAGUGUAUAAUCGUCUCAGAAUUUAUAGUACUCAUAAAUUAUAUAAUGCAGCUCUUGUAUAUAGUUUUUUCUUCUUCUACAUGCAAGGUAAUGUUAUUUCGAAGCUGAAAAACCACAUUCACUUGCACAAUUUUGGCCUCAGUGGUCAUUAGUUCUGUAGGAAAUCAAAAUGUCUGAAUCUGAAUAUUAAGAAAUCUAUUAAGAUUUAGAUUUUGAAUCUAAAUACAUAUUUAAAUAUUUAAAUGUAUUAAAAUUUAUUUUCAUUUAAAAAGUAGUAAGUAUAUAAAAAAAUAUAUUCUGAAUUAGUAUAGUGCUAUAUCAAUAAAAUAUUUUAUAAAAUUAUAUGGCAGGUGGUGGUAGUAAUAACUAUGCUGUUACGUUAGGUAAUAGUGAUUUUGUGGAUAGUAAUUAUUGGUAUGGUGGUUGACAGUAAUGGUUGAUGGGGUCUAAGGGUAAUUUGUGGUAGCGGCGGCUUAUAGUUAUGGUGCAUGAUAGUGAUAACUAAUGAUGAUGGUGAAUCGUAAUUGAUGGUGGAUAUUUGGCGAUAUAUAAUAGUAGCUAAUGUAGUGAUUGUCGGUAGAUAUAAAUGUAAAUGGUAGCUAGCAGAGAUGAUGGUUGAUUGUAAUUUUUAGUAAUUGACAUAAAAAUGAUAGUUGUGACUGAGGAUGAUGGUCAUGAGUGGUAAGAAAGGGUAUUUCAUAAUGGUGGGUGACGACAAUGGUAGUUGAUAGUAUAUAGUUGAUGAUGACGACAACCGUGAAUGGAUGAAAUCAUCUUUAAGUUUUUCGAAUAAUUAACUUAAUAACAGUAAGACUUCGCUACAAAUCUUAAUCAUCGAUUCUAUUCAGAUCUAUUAAGUGAUCAUCACAUUAAAAACCACGUUAAAUGGUUAUGAAUGAUUAAGAUUCAAACAAAAAAUAAACGAGUUCAAUGAUUGAGAUUUGAAUAAUUAAAAAUUUAAAACGAGGCAUUAUUUUGGAAUAUAAACAGAUAUUCAAACCCAAGUCCAUGACCCAACAAAGAUACAAGUGGAAACCAAAGCCCAUAAUUAUCAGGAAUGAGAACCAAACCUAAGCCCAAAGUUAACUGGAAAGAAAACCCAAUAGAGCCCAAACCUAAGCCCAAAUAACAAUCACACAGGAGGAUGAAAAUGUAAAUGGUAGCUAGCAGAGAUGAUGGUUGAUUGUAAUUUUUAGUAAUUGACAUAAAAAUGAUAGUUGUGACUGAGGAUGAUGGUCAUGAGUGGUAAGAAAGGGUAUUUCAUAAUGGUGGGUGACGACAAUGGUAGUUGAUAGUAUAUAGUUGAUGAUGACGACAACCGUGAAUGGAUGAAAUCAUCUUUAAGUUUUUCGAAUAAUUAACUUAAUAACAGUAAGACUUCGCUACAAAUCUUAAUCAUCGAUUCUAUUCAGAUCUAUUAAGUGAUCAUCACAUUAAAAACCACGUUAAAUGGUUAUGAAUGAUUAAGAUUCAAACAAAAAAUAAACGAGUUCAAUGAUUGAGAUUUGAAUAAUUAAAAAUUUAAAACGAGGCAUUAUUUUGGAAUAUAAACAGAUAUUCAAACCCAAGUCCAUGACCCAACAAAGAUACAAGUGGAAACCAAAGCCCAUAAUUAUCAGGAAUGAGAACCAAACCUAAGCCCAAAGUUAACUGGAAAGAAAACCCAAUAGAGCCCAAACCUAAGCCCAAAUAACAAUCACAUAGGAGGAUGAUAACCUCCAUCGACGACCAAAUUAUGGCCGGUGAUAAACUGAGAGUCAUCCGACGCCAAAAACAAGACAGCAUCAGCUACAUGAGAAGCUCUAAGAGCUCCAACUUUCAAGCAAUUGAAGGAUUCAAACAGUUUUUCCAGCUCCUCUACACCCAUUUUCAUCGAUUUCUCUAACAAUGGUGUUGCCACUGCUGCUGGAGAAACACAGUUCACUCGUAUACCAUACGCACCCAGUCCUUUACUUGCAGACCUCACCAAUCCCAGUACUGCGUGUUUCGACAUUGCGUAGUCAAUUUGCCUCGUUACCCCCAUCGUUGCCGCCGCGCUCGCCGUGCAUAUUAUCUUCCCUUUUACCCCACCUUCCACCAUAGCCUUCGCCGCGUGUUUCACGCAAGCGACUGACCCACGAACGUUGACCGCGAAUAGGUUAUCUAAAGCAUCCAGAUUGAACCCUAGAAUAUCUUGUGCGUGCUCGUUGUGGCUUGCAAUUCCGGCGUUGCUGAACAUUAUAUCGACUCGACCGUGAAUUUCCACUGUUGAUUGUACCAGGGAUUGGACUUGUUGCUCGUCUGUAA